rnacentral:rRNA from 1 species
GACAAGAAAUAACAAUACGGGGCCUAAAGUCUUGUAAUUGGAAUGAUGGGAAUUUAAACCUCUUCCAGAGUAUCAAUUGGAGGGCAAGUCUGGUGCCAGCAGCCGCGGUAAUUCCAGCUCCAAUAGCGUAUAUUAAAAUUGUUGCAGUUAAAAAGCUCGUAGUUGAAUUUCUGCUGCAUUGUGUGUCCCUCUGGGGUCUGUGCAUGUGGCUUUUUUCGGACGGAGUUUCUUUGUCUGAAUGUUUACUUUGAGAAAAUUAGAGUGCUCAAAGCAGGCUUUCGCCUUGAAUAGUUUAGCAUGGAAUAAUAAAGUAGGACUUUGGUUCUAUUUUGUUGGUUUUAGGUACCAAAGUAAUGGUUAAUAGGAACAGUUGGGGGCAUUCGUAUUUAACUGUCAGAGGUGAAAUUCUUAG